GGCUCAGCCUGGUUUUCAGUGGACUUCAGUACUUAGAACAAAACUACCUCCAAUCUGGUCGUGUUCUGAAGCUGAUUCAUUGUAAACUAGAUGAAGAUGUUUUAAAACUGGACAGUGAUGUUUCCUGAUUAUGAAAGACAGUGAAUCCAGCUCACUGCUUACUCGUCCAGCCUUCAUGAAGGUGUAGAGAAAUUACUGAGGAAGCGAUGGGCCAGCAGUGAAGAUGCAGCAGCUGAAGACCCUCUCUGGAAGGGUUGACAUCCUCGAUGCUGUUUCCUCCAGAUGAGCACGAUGUGGUGUUCCCGCAGACUGAGGAUGUCCUGGGACGCUGUGACAGAAUUGUACCAGAUGCUGGAGUGGGACCUGUGAGAUCAAGGUGGCCAUGAAAACGGUUAUGUUAAACUUUUAUGCAACUAGCUCUUUCACUAGCUGUUCUGAGGAUGCUGCCAGACCUGCUGAGCUUUUCCAGCAACUUUGUUUGUUUUUGUUCCUGAUUUACAGCAUCCACAGUUGUUUUGGUUUUUAUUUAACUCUUUCCAAGAAUCAGCUGGGGAACUUGAAUGAUAAAAUUUUGUUGGAAAAUGCGCACGUGGGCGUAUCGUAGUGUAUGAUUUUUGCUUGUUCUUUGAUGAAUGACCUGAGUGUUUAAGGGCUAUCAAUUGUAAUAAUUAUGUGCUAAUCUGUUACUGAAAAGGUGAAAGACUAAUAUUUGUUAAUGUCUAUGUGAAAUCUAAAGAUGAAGCACAUCUCUUCAACAGUAUUUCCAAAUUUUAACAUCUUAUUUGUUAGAAAGAAGUGGAAGUUCCAAAAUGUACCUAUUGCAUCAAGGCAAUAAUAGGCUUCAUGGAGCAUGCAAUCUGCAUCCUGACAUUGCGCAGUUGUACGUGCCCUUCUCUGGAUCUGGCUUUGUUUUUAACCUUUUUUUUGUUCUUUCAGACUUUGAAUAUUUUAAUUUAGCAACAAAAUGCAUUUAUGUUGACCGGUAAAUGUAAAGAAAAGCCAAUUAUUGUGCCAUUAAAAUUGAUUUGAAGUA